rnacentral:rRNA from 1 species
UGCGUAGGCGGCGGAGCAAGUCAGGUGUGAAAUCCCGGGGCUCAACCCUGGAACUGCACUUGAUACUGCUUUGCUAGAGUACUGGAGAGGAGAUUGGAAUUUACGGUGUAGCAGUGAAAUGCGUAGAUAUCGUAAGGAAGACCAGUGGCGAAGGCGAAUCUCUGGACAGUUACUGACGCUGAGGCACGAAGGCCGAGGGAGCAAACG